rnacentral:pre_miRNA from 1 species
UACGUACUCUCUCCGUUCGGAAUUAUUCGUCUUGGAUAUGGAUGUAUCUAGAACUAAAAUACGUUUAGAUACAUUCAUUUCUGCGACAAGUAAUUUCGAACGGACGGAGUACGUA